AUGGCGGCGGGGGUGGCCCCGUCGGCGCCUGCGCGGGAGGCAGGGUGGUGGGGAGCUGCGGCUAGGACCGUGUGUGGGGUCCUAACGGAACUCCCAGGCUGUAGCCAAAGCGGAGAUUGGGCAACUGCAAGCCAGGCAGUGUGCAACCAGUUCUGAGAGGUCAUCAGUGAUGAGCACGCCAUCGACCCCACAGGCACCUACCACUGGGACAGCGACCUGCAGCUGGAAUGCAUCAACGUGUACUACAACAAGGCCACUAGGGACAAGUACAUGCCCCAUGCAGUGCUCGUGGAUCUGAAGCCUGGCACCAUGGACUCCGUGUGCUCCAGGACCUUUGGGCAGAUCUUCUGGCCAGACAAUUUCAUUUUCGGUCAGAGUGGUGCUGGGAACAACUGCUUGCAGGGUUUCCAGUUGACCCACUCCCUGUGUGGGAGGACUGGGUCUAGGAUGGGUACCCUUCUCAUCAGCAAGAUCUGGGAAGAGUACCCAGACAGGAUCAUGAACACGUUCAGUGUGGUGCCCUCGCCCAAAGUGUCAGACACCACCAUCUCAGUCCACCAGCUUGUGGAAAACACAGACAAGACCUACUGCAUUGAUAAUGAAGCUCUUAUGACAUCUGCUUCAGAACCCUAAAGCUGACCACGCCUACCUACUGUGAUUCUAACCACCUGCUGUCUGCCACCAUGAGUGGGGUCACUACCUGCCUGCACUUCCCAGGACAGCUCAAUGCUGACCUGUGGAAGCUGGCUGUGAACAUGGUCCCGUUCCCCAGCUUGCACUUCUUCAUGCCUGGCUUUGCCCCACUGACCAGCCAGGGCAGCCAGCAGUACCAGGCACUGACAGUGCCUGAGCUCACCCAGCAGAUGUUUGCAACCAAGAACAUGAUGGCUGCCUGCGACCCCCGCCAUGGCUGCUACCUGAUGGUGGCUGCUGUGUUCAGGGGCUGCAUGUCCGUGAGGGAGGUGGACAAGCAAAUGCUUAAUGUCCAAAACAAGAACAGCAGCUACUUUAUUGAGUGGAUGCCCAACAAUGUGAAAAGGGCUGUCUGUAACAUCCCGCACCAGGGGCUAAAAAUGUCUACCACCUUCAUGGGCAACAGCCAGGCCUUCCAGGAGCUGUUCAAGCACAUCUUGGAACAGUUCACAGCCAUGUUCUGGCACCAGGCCUUCCUGCACUGGUACAUGGGCAAGGGCAUGGACGAGGUGGAGUUCACCAAGACUGAGAGCAAUAUGAAUGGCCUGGUGUCUGAAUACCAGCAGUACCAGGACGCCACAGCCAAGGAGAAGGGAGAGUUUGAGGAGAUGGCCAAGGAGAAGGUGGCCUCGGGCCUCCAUUCACUGGGGAAAGCAAGGAAUCGGUGUGAACUCUUUAUUCACUCCCAGCCUGUCCUGUCGCCUGUCCCACUGUGUGUGCACUUGCUAUUUUUCCUGUCCACAUCCCAUGCUAUACAGACACCACCAUUAAAGCCUUUUCAUAGUGAAAAAAAAAAAUCAGUUAACUAG